rnacentral:rRNA from 1 species
AGAGUUUGAUCAUGGCUCAGAACGAACGCUGGCGGCGUGCCUAACACGUGCAAGUCGAGCGGGAAAGUUCCCUUCGGGGAGCGAGUACAGCGGCGCACGGGUGAGUAACACGUAGGUAACCUACCCCGGAGACCGGGAUAACCUGCCGAAAGGCGGGCUAAUACCGGAUAAGACCACGAGGGCUGUGGCCCUUGCGGAAAAAGAUGGCCUCUGCUUGCACGCUAUCACUCUGGGAUGGGCCUGCGCGCCAUUAGCUAGUUGGUGAGGUAACGGCUCACCAAGGCCGAGAUGGCUAGCUGGUCUGAGAGGAUGGCCAGCCACACUGGGACUGAGACACGGCCCAGACUCCUACGGGAGGCAGCAGUGGGGAAUAUUGCGCAAUGGGCGAAAGCCUGACGCAGCGACGCCGCGUGGGUGAUGAAGGCCUUCGGGUCGUAAAGCCCUGUCAAGAGGGACGAAACCUCGUCGACCUAAUACGUCGGCGACCUGACGGUACCUCUGAAGGAAGCACCGGCUAACUCCGUGCCAGCAGCCGCGGUAAUACGGAGGGUGCAAGCGUUGUUCGGAAUCACUGGGCGUAAAGCGCGUGUAGGCGGCCUUCUCAGUCUGGUGUGAAAGCCCGGGGCUCACCCCCGGAAGUGCAUUGGAUACUGGAAGGCUGGAGUACCGGAGAGGAGGGUGGAAUUCCUGGUGUAGCGGUGAAAUGCGUAGAUAUCAGGAGGAACACCGGUGGCGAAAGCGGCCCUCUGGACGGAUACUGACGCUGAGACGCGACAGCGUGGGGAGUAAACAGGAUUAGAUACCCUGGUAGUCCACGCCGUAAACGAUGGGUACUAGGUGUUCGGGGUAUUGACCCCCUGAGUGCCGCAGCUAACGCAUUAAGUACCCCGCCUGGGGACUACGGGCCGCAAGGCUAAAAC